UACGGAGGGUGCAAGCGUUGCUCGGAAUUAUUGGGCGUAAAGGGCAGGUAGGUGGUCUCGUUUGUCUGGGGUGAAAGCCUUGAGCUCAACUCAAGAAGUGCCCCAGAAACGGCGAGACUAGAGUACUGGAGAGGGUCGUGGAAUUCCCGGUGUAGCGGUGAAAUGCGUAGAGAUCGGGAGGAACACCAGCGGCGAAGGCGGCGACCUGGACAGUUACUGACACUCAACUGCGAAAGCGUGGGGAGCAAACAG
rnacentral:rRNA from 1 species